rnacentral:lncRNA from 1 species
UCGGGAGCUGAAACUGAGUUUUUAUCUGUAGAUAUCGACACUUUCGUCAGUUAACUUAAACAUGGUACUUGUCAGAAACAUCUCAGCAAGUUUAUAGCCGUCAUAUGCAGUGAUUUACAGAGAAACACAAGCUUGCACAACAGAUCCAACCAAAACAAAGUAGCACAAACUUGAUCAUGGCAAGAACUGAAAUAAGCGCUGUUGUUAUUUCUCCAGAUCAUGAAUCAGUGUGAUCCCACACAAGUUACAAGAGGACAGAGCACAAACAGCUAACUACAGAGCGCCAUCGAUCUCAUCCACCAAAGAAGACACAGGGACAGCCGAAUUAGGCGGAGGUGUGACGGCCAUGGUGCCCUCGGAAAGCAUCUAACUCCAGCCUGGAAAGCAGCAAAUACUCGUAAUAACCCUGCAAGAAAACAUUGAUCUUGAGACCACAUAAAAAAAAGCCAAAAAUGGCAACAUCAUCAGCACACACAUCUACAAAUUGGAAACUGCACAGCUCACAUUAAGCCCCAGCAAAAUACAUGGGAUUUCUUAUUGUAUAUAUCCUGGCCCAAACACACAUAAUUCAAUGUCUAUUCUUGUGUAAAAGAAUUCUGUAUGUGAUAAAUUCUACUAUAAUAUUUACUGUUUAGUGUGUAGGAAGUCAACUGAUGACUGAAAUGAGCAGCUAUAUACAACAAAUAGACCACAGCUGUUGUAGAGCUAGGAUUCAUCUGUGCAGAUAUAUAAGCAAUUGUCAACAAUGCUCCCAGGUAAACGCCAUUCAAUCUUUUGUUAUAAUAAAAGUUCACGUAUGAUUAAGCCCAAACAGACGAGGUUGUGAUCCUUUUACUCCUAUCUAACUAGAGACAAGCACCGAACACGCAAACAAGCCAUCACCAGAAAAUAAAUGAUGAUGUAGCAAUAACAACAAAUAGAUCACAGCUGUUCUAGAGUUAGGAUUCAUAUGUGCAGAUGUAAGCAAUGUUGAACGAUACUUGCAGAUGAAGGGCAUUCUUGCUGUUGAAGUUUGCAGGCGAUUAGCCGCAAACAGACAAGUUUGCAGGCGAUUGUUGCAGCCAUAAUCACUUCAUGUAGUGACUAGUGUCUACCCAACCAGCUUCAGGUUUUAGUAACUGGACCCCAGAAGAGAG